GACGAACCGAGCAAACGUUAUUCGGAAUCACUGGGCUUAAAGGGCGCGUAGGCGGGCUGCCAAGUCCGUGGUGAAAUCCUCCAGCUUAACUGGAGAACUGCCGCGGAUACUGGCGGCCUCGAGGGAAGGUAGGGGCAUCUGGAACUGGUGGUGGAGCGGUGAAAUGCGUUGAUAUCAUCAGGAACUCCGGUGGCGAAGGCGAGGUGCUGGACCUUUUCUGACGCUGAGGCGCGAAAGCCAGGGGAGCAAACGGG
rnacentral:rRNA from 1 species